GGAUGCGAUCAUACCAGUACUAAACCACC
rnacentral:rRNA from 1 species